GAAUUGGGCUGAAGAGGUUUCCUAGGCAGCCUCGCAGGCUGCACAGCACACCACCCCCGAGGUGCCCACGCGCAGCCCCGUGAUUUGUUCUCCACUGACAGAAUCUAUACCAGCCACUGGGACACGUUGUGCUUUAACAAGAUCGAAAUUGAUUGCUGCCAGCGUAAGACCGUGAUGAUAAUCGUAGCAAUCAGCCCCAAAUACAAACAGGAUGUGGAAGGCGCUGAGUCGCAGCUGGACGAGGAUGAGCACGGCUUACAUACUAAGUACAUUCAUCGAAUGAUGCAGAUUGAGUUC
rnacentral:sRNA from 1 species